rnacentral:rRNA from 1 species
UGGGGAAUCUUAGACAAUGGGGAACCCUGAUCUAGCCAUGCCGCGUGAGCGAUGAAGGCCUUAGGGUUGUAAAGCUCUUUUCAGCUGGGAAGAUAAUGACGGUACCAGCAGAAGAAGCCCCGGCUAACUCCGUGCCAGCAGCCGCGGUAAUACGGAGGGGGCUAGCGUUGUUCGGAAUUACUGGGCGUAAAGCGCACGUAGGCGGAUUAGUCAGUCAGAGGUGAAAUCCCAGGGCUCAACCCUGGAACUGCCUUUGAUACUGCUAGUCUUGAGGUCGAGAGAGGUGAGUGGAAUUCCGAGUGUAGAGGUGAAAUUCGUAGAUAUUCGGAGGAACACCAGUGGCGAAGGCGGCUCACUGGCUCGAUACUGACGCUGAGGUGCGAAAGCGUGGGGAGCAAAACAGGAUUAGAUACCCUGGUAGUCCACGCCGUAAACGAUGAUGCCAGUCGU